rnacentral:rRNA from 1 species
UACGUAGGGGGCUAGCGUUGUCCGGAAUCAUUGGGCGUAAAGAGCGUGUAGGCGGCCCGGUAAGUCCGCUGUGAAAGUCGGGGGGCUCAACCUCGGAUGCCGGUGGAUACUGUCGGGCUCGAGUACGGAAGAGGCGAGUGGAAUCCUGGUGUAGCGGUGAAAUGCGCAGAUAUCAGGAGGAACACCGUAGUGCAAGGCGG